rnacentral:misc_RNA from 1 species
CCGAGUCGGGACACACCCUGC